rnacentral:rRNA from 1 species
UACAGAGGUCCCAAGCGUUGUUCGGAUUCACUGGGUUUAAAGGGUGCGUAGGUGGGCAGGUAAGUCAGUGGUGAAAUCUCCGGGCUUAACCCGGAAACUGCCGUUGAUACUAUCUGUCUUGAAUAUAGUGGAGGUGAGCGGAAUAUGUCAUGUAGCGGUGAAAUGCUUAGAUAUGACAUAGAACAUCGAUUGCGAAGGCAGCUCGCUACGCUAUUAUUGACACUGAGGCACGAAAGCGUGGGGAUCAAACAGG